AUUGAACGCUGGCGGCAGGCCUAACACAUGCAAGUCGAACGAGUGGCGGACGGGUGAGUAAUGUCAGGGAAACUGCCCGAUGGAGGGGGGUAACUACUGGAAACGGUAGCUAAUACCGCAUACCAUCGGAUGUGCCCAGAUGGGAUUAGCUUUUGGGUGGGGUAACGGCUCACCUAGGCGACGAUCCCUAUCUGGACUGAGAGGGUGACCAGCCACACUGGAACUGAGACACGGUCCAGACUCCUACGGGAGGCAGCAGUGGGGAAUAUUGCACAAUGGGCGCAAGCCUGAUGCAGCCAGGCCGCGUGUAUGAAGAAGGCCUUCGGGUUGUAAAGUACUUUCAGCGAGGAGGCGUUACUCGCAGAAGAAGCACCGGCUAACUCCGUGCCAGCAGCCGCGGUAAUUC
rnacentral:rRNA from 1 species